rnacentral:lncRNA from 1 species
AUCUUUCCCGGGAAGACUGUGCCAGUUUUUAACUUUGCAACUUGAAUGUCAAGAUUUUUGUUCCUUUUAUCUGUAUUAAUGUGUCUUAGAUUUCAGAAAUACAUAUAUUGACAUGAAACUUAAAAAAAUUUUCCUAUAAUGUGGCUAAUUGAUGGUAUUCAGAACAUGUAAAUGGAAAAGGAAGUCUUGUCUUUUUUACCCCCUGGCAUAGGAUGUCCUGGGCUGCAAUGUCUCACCAGUGCCUGGGUUCCAGCCCCAAGACGAGAGUCUGGUGUAUUUGUGCUACACGGUCUCCAGAGAAGAUGGCUCGUUCUCUUUCUAUUCCUUGCCAAGUGGGGGCUACACUGUGAUUCCGUUCUAUCGAGGGGAGAGGAUUACCUUUGAUGUGGCGCCUUCCAGACUUGACUUCACAGUGGAGCAUGACAGCUUGAAAAUCGAGCCCGUGUUCCACGUCAUGGGAUUCUCCGUCACCGGGAGGGUCUUGAACGGACCCGAAGGAGAUGGUGUUCCAGAAGCAGUAGUCACCCUGAAUAACCAAAUCAAAGUUAAAACAAAAGCUGAUGGCUCAUUCCGCCUUGAGAACAUAACCACA